ACGAACGCUGGCGGCGUGCUUAACACAUGCCAGUCGAACGGAAAGGCCCUGCUUUUGUGGGGUGCUCGAGUGGCGAACGGGUGAGUAACACGUGAGUAACCUGCCCUUGACUUUGGGAUAACUUCAGGAAACUGGGGCUAAUACCGGAUAGGAGCUCCUGCUGCAUGGUGGGGGUUGGAAAGUUUCGGCGGUUGGGGAUGGACUCGCGGCUUAUCAGCUUGUUGGUGGGGUAGUGGCUUACCAAGGCUUUGACGGGUAGCCGGCCUGAGAGGGUGACCGGACACAUAGGGACUGAGAUACGGCCCAGACUCCUACGGGAGGCAGCAGUGGGGAAUAUUGCACAAUGGGCGGAAGCCUGAUGCAGCAACGCCGCGUGCGGGAUGACGGCUUUCGGGUGGUAAACCGCUUUCGCCUGUGACGAAGCGUGAGUGACGGUAAUGGGUAAAGAAGCACCGGCUAACUACGU
rnacentral:rRNA from 1 species